rnacentral:lncRNA from 1 species
CCAGCCCCGAAGCCGCGCUCCCCGCCUGCCCCACCAGGUGGCAGCAGCGGGCUGCCCAGUCCGCCUCCAGACCGCUGUGUCUCGGGCCCUAGGGGCUAAAGGAGGAUGCGGGCUCCACGCUGGUGUUACGCCCAGGGCCAGGACCCGGCUGAGACGCGAAACUCCCAGCGGGUCAGGGACUCUCGGGGCUCCGGCCCUGGUGUCCUACCUGGGAGUUGGGGCACCCUGGACGCCACCCAAGCCUCAAUGGCCCGGGCAGGCUGGCUAAUGCCCAGCGGGGCCACCAGGCCGCGCCCGCGACUCCCCGAGGUGCACUGCCGUCCGCCUGGACCCAAACCUGGCCUCCUCUGCCGCCUCGGGAGCCUCGCUGUGACACCGAGACAGCGACAGGCGGCCCUGGGCCCGGGGCAGGAGGGUCCGCGCCGCCUGGCUCGUGCCUGGCUGCCUGCUCGCUGCCCGUGGUCUCCUCUGCUGCGCCCUGGCACAGAUCCGGUCCUGUCCCGGUCCUGUCCCGCGCCCUCUGCGUCUGUCCCGUCUGCGCGUGGCUCCCCGCGUCCCUGCUUUCUGCUCCCUUUUCUCCCUGUGUGCACUGCACUGUCCCUGGGCUCUGCCACCGUCUGUGUGCGAUGUCCCGGCCUACGUCUUUCUCUUUCUGUGUGUCUCUGCCUGUUUCUUCCCCUCCCUGUGUGUGUGUGUGUGUGUGUGUGUGUGUGUGCGCGCGCGCGCGUGUGUGUGUGUGUGGUACUGCUAACUGACCCCAGAGCUAUCCACUGAGCCCAUCUCCAGCCCUUUUUUAUUCUUUAUUUUGAGACCUGCUCUCGCUGAGUCACUAAGUUGCCCAGCCAGGGCUUGAACUUGGGGCCCUCCUGCCUCAGCCUCCCAGAGCGCUGGGAUGACAGGUGUGCGCCGCCAUGGCCGCCCGUGACGUUUCGGGUCUGCGUUCACCCUGUAUCUGUGGCCUUCUGCUCUCCCCGCCGCGGCGGGCCUGUCCGGCGGCGGAUGUGAGGGAUGAUUCAGUGGUGACAGGAAGCUGCCGCCUCGCCUGCUGCCCUCCAGAGGCCACAGCGCCGGCUGCUGGAGCAGUGCGGGGAUGGGGCGUCCUCAGUGAGGAGCCAGCUCAGGCAGGGACAGCGGAGGACAUGGGCCCCGAGGUGGAGCUGCUGUGGCCGGGGUCGGCGCUGCUGCUGCUGCUGCUGCUGCUGCUGGGGGCCGUGGCCGUGGCCGGGCUGUGUGUGCACUGCUCCCGCCCAGGCCCGAAGAGGACAGAGAAAAUCUACGAGCAGAGAAACCUGCAAGAGAGGCAGCAGAGCUUCUCAGUGGCUUCUCGGACCUAUUCCUCGAUCAGGCAGGCAUGGCCGGGACCCCUGACGGACACAGCCCCUGCAGGGAAGGACAAGCUGCUGCACUUCUCCACCCUGCUUGAGGACCCUGCGUCCCCCCGGUACCAGAACUUCAGCAAAGGGAGCAGACGAGAGUCUGACGCCUACAUAGACCCCAUUGCUGCAGACUAUUACAACUGGAGCUGCUCCUGGAAGCCCCUCCAAGAUGAGGACGACACCAACUCCUACGAGAACGUGCUCGUCUGUCAGCCUCGGAGCAGGAGCGCAGAGUCAGGCAGAGAGGAGUCUGGGGACUAUCAGAACUCAGCAUCCAUCCAGCAGUUGCAGGAGUCCCCAUGGGCCCCAGCACAAGUCCCCGGAGCGGCACAUCUGUCCCCAGUGGGGAGUCCAGACGAGGACAGCGGGGAGUCGGACUACGUGAAUGGGGAUGUGGCCGGGGAAGCCUAGGGAGAUGACUUGAG